ACCCUUUUAAAGGAUGACUGAUUUCUUCUGGUGUUCAGAGUCUUUUGUUUUCUAGCACCAUUUGAAAUCGGUUAUAAUGAUGGGGUA
ensembl:miRNA xtr-mir-29a xtr-mir-29a